rnacentral:rRNA from 1 species
GGCCAGACUCCUACGGGAGGCAGCAGUGGGGAAUAUUGGGCAAUGGGCGCAAGCCUGACCCAGCAACGCCGCGUGAAGGAAGAAGGCUUUCGGGUUGUAAACUUCUUUUCUGGGGGACGAAGAAAGUGACGGUACCCCAGGAAUAAGCCACGGCUAACUACGUGCCAGCAGCCGCGGUAAUACGUAGGUGGCAAGCGUUAUCCGGAUUUAUUGGGUGUAAAGGGCGUGUAGGCGGGAAUGCAAGUCAGAUGUGAAAACUAUGGGCUCAACCCAUAGCCUGCAUUUGAAACUGUAUUUCUUGAGUGCUGGAGAGGCAAUCGGAAUUCCGUGUGUAGCGGUGAAAUGCGUAGAUAUUAGGAGGAACGCCAGUGGCGAAGGCGGCCUACUGGACGGUGACUGACGCUGAGGCUCGAAAGCGUGGGGAGCAAACAGGAUUAGAUACCCCCGUAC